UUCGACGGGAUUUGCGAAACCCAAGGUGCAUGCCGAGGGGCGGUUUGCCUCGUAAAAAGCCGCAAAAAAUAGUCGCAAACGACGAAAACUACGCUUUAGCAGCUUAAUAACCUGCUUAGAGCCCUCUCUCCCUAGCCUCCGCUCUUAGGACGGGGAUCAAGAGAGGUCAAACCCAAAAGAGAUCGCGUGGAAGCCCUGCCUGGGGUUGAAGCGUUAAAACUUAAUCAGGCUAGUUUGUUAGUGGCGUGUCCGUCCGCAGCUGGCAAGCGAAUGUAAAGACUGACUAAGCAUGUAGUACCGAGG
rnacentral:tmRNA from 1 species